rnacentral:rRNA from 1 species
UACAUAGGUGGCAAGCGUUGUUCGGAAUUACUGGGCGUAAAGGGCGCGUAGGCGGCCUACUAAGUCAGACGUGAAAUCCCCCGGCUUAACCUGGGAACUGCGUCUGAUACUGGAAGGCUUGAGGAUGGGAGAGGGAUGUAGAAUUCCAGGUGUAGCGGUGAAAUGCGUAGAUAUCUGGAGGAAUACCGGUGGCGAAGGCGGCAUCCUGGACCAUUACUGACGCUGAGGCGCGAAAGCUAGGGGAGCAAACGGG